UACGUAGGGGGCUAGCGUUGUCCGGAUUUAUUGGGCGUAAAGAGCGUGUAGGCGGCCAGGUAGGUCUGCUGUGAAAACUCGAGGCUCAACUUCGAGCUGUCGGCGGAAACUAUCUGGCUAGAGUCCGGAAGAGGAGAGUGGAAUUCCUGGUGUAGCGGUGAAAUGCGCAGAUAUCAGGAAGAACGCCCGUGGCGAAGGCGGCUCUCUGGGACGGUACUGACGCUGAGACGCGAAAGCGUGGGGAGCGAACAGG
rnacentral:rRNA from 1 species